rnacentral:lncRNA from 1 species
UUUUUUCUUUUUUUUUUUACUUCCCUCCCUAUAAAUACCCCUCACUUCUCCGAUUCAUUCACACUUUCAAUCUUUCUCUCUUUCUCUACUACAUUUUCAUUCUCUUUUUCCAAAAAAUGGCCGAAUGGUUCGAUGAUACUUCAUCGUCUUCGUCCGACGGGGUAGCGCAAGAGAUCAUCGAUGAGAUCAAGUUGCAAAAACAAUUGAUUGCUCAAAUAUACUCCCAACCGGAGCUGGAACGUGUUGUUCAUCACCG